rnacentral:tRNA from 1 species
GGUGGCUUAGUCGUGGAGCGCUUGCCUUGCAUGCAUGGGGCCCUGGGUUUGAUUCCUAGCACCA